CUCCCGGCCCCCCGCCCGUCGCCCGGCGGGCCUGCUUUCCAGGGCGCCGCCGCCUCCCCUCGCGCGAGCGAAGUAGGCGAGUCGCUCGUGCCCUUUGGCCGUGAGAGGUGCCGCUGAGUCGGGCGGCAGUUGCUCAAGACGCGCCCUCCCUGUGGGCAGUCUGCAGCUCGGACCCUGCCCUUUUCCCUUGGGGGGGCAAAGGGGGCCGCGUUCGAGACCUCACAAUUUCUUGUGCUGCUGUUCAUUGUCUCCCCCUCCUCCUUUCCCCAACCUCGCCAAGCAUAAUGGUCUUCCUGCAUCGAUGCGCCAUGUGACCAAGCUCUAGUGUUAAAAAGAUGACAGCCAACUUUUUAGAACAUCCACUGUGAAGUCCAAUACACUGGAAUAUAUUUUUGUUGAACUAGCUGAAUUUUUAAGAAGGAGAGGUGAUCCCAUUAAAAGAGAGUUGAUCAAGGUUUGCUGCCGCCUCCUCCUCAAUCUGAAUCCAUGGCUUCUUUCAAUGGUAGUGACCCAGAAGCACCAGUAGACCCAUCGGUAUGCAAAUGAGCACUCUGCAGACUCCGGGGCACAUAGCACGGGAGCUCUGUGCUGAGCUUGAAGGUGGAAGGGGAAGCUGGGAAGGAUAAGGGGAGACAUGAUGGCAGUCUUCCAAUACUUGAAGGGCUGCCCAGGGAAGAGGGGGGGUGUCCAUAGUGCCUGGGGGUAGGGCAAGAACCAGUAGGUGGAAGCUUUACAGAUGGGUUCAAACAUAACAUGAGGAAUUUCCUGACUCUGAAACCCAGCAGAACACUUGCCUCCUAGAGUUGUGGGUGCUCCAUCACUAGAGGUUUUCAAACAAAGGUUGACAGCUGUUCUACAAUCUUUCUUGCAGUCUAUAACCACUGCAAGGCCUGGUCAGCAGAAGAAAGGGUCUCUUUCAUCUACCAUCUUUGGGGAUGAUUGCACACCUUUUUGGGUCCCUUCCAGAUGUCCUUCCCACCUCUGGUGGCCAUAGGCAGGCUGUCUUGCCAAGUAGGGGUAAGACAACUGCUCCUAAACAGCACAAUGCCUGGACAAUGUCUGAAGCUGCCUCCAGGGAGCAGGUGGCACACUUGAGAUUUCUUCAAUCUGUCCCUUUAGCAUGUUGAACAUAAAAGCAAGGAUCUGUGCAUGACACAAGAUGACUCUUGUUCUGUCAAUCAGUGUCCUUGAUAUUUACCAUGCAAAUGUUGACAACUAGGCAUUUGCUUUCCAGGAUGGGGAGAAAUCCUUGUCUUCUCUUUUCCUUAGUUUUCUCGUUCUGCCAGGCAGAAGCUGCAGUUCUUAAUAAUUUUUGUUGAUAUUUUGCAAUCAGAAAGAAAAGACAAAAUAGUAAAUCUACAAUACCAGUGAGCUUUUAAAUACCGGGAUGGAAGGAGACCAUCCACAUUCCUGAUUUCUGCAAGGUUAGGUUUCAACAGAGACCACGUACAUUUAGACAAGGUUUAUUCUAAAACAGUUUGAAAGCAACCCCUUAAUAGAUAAUUGACUUGAAAGGGUUGUAUCUUUGGGCAAGAUCAAGAACAGUCAUCUCUCUUCUCACCUGCCCUUCAAUUAGAACACCCACAAGGCAAGUUCAAGGAUAACUAGGGGUAGAUGGACAGCAGCUAUCCAGAUGACCACAAGAUGGCAGCAAAAAGAGUUUUUUAUUUAUUCAACUGCAGCAAGACUAUUAUACUAAUAGAACAGAAUAUUAUAUUCUAUUAUAUACUAUAUGCUCAAAUGUGGAAAGGUUCGACAUUACCCACAAUGAAGGAAUGGUUGGUGAAGAUGAUGGAACU